rnacentral:rRNA from 1 species
GCGAUUCGCCCUUCGGGGUGCAGCAGGCGCGAAAACUUUACAAUGCGGGAAACCGUGAUAAGGGAACUCCGAGUGCCCGUAAAAUCGGGCUGUCCAUCUGUUUAAAUAACAGGUGAAGAAAGGGCCGGGCAAGACCGGUGCCAGCCGCCGCGGUAAUACCGGCGGCUCGAGUGGUGGCCACUAUUACUGGGCUUAAAGCGUUCGUAGCUGGUCUGUUAAGUCUCUGGGGAAAUCUACUGGCUUAACCAAUAGGCGUUUCAGGGAUACUGGCAGACUAAGGACCGGGAGAGGUGAGGGGUACUCCAGGGGUAGGAGUGAAAUCCUGUAAUCCUUGGGGGACCACCUGUGGCGAAGGCGCCUCACCAGAACGGCUCCAACAGUGAGGGACGAAAGCUGGGGGAGCAAACCGGAUUAAAUACCCGGGUAGUCCCAGCCGUAAACGAUGCACGUUAGGCGUAUCGGUGACCACGAGUCACCGAGGUGCCGAAGAGAAAUCGUGAAACGUGCCGCCUGGGAAGUACGGUCGCAAGGCUGAAACUUAAAGGAAUUGGCGGGGGAGCAC